rnacentral:rRNA from 1 species
GACAGAGGUGCCGAGCGUUAGGCGGAAUCACUGGGCUUAAAGCGUGUGUAGGCGGCCUUCUAAGUACCUUGUGAAAUCCCACGGCUCAACCGUGGAACUGCUUGGUAUACUGGUCGUCUUGAGCCACCUAGGGGCAACCGGAACAAACGGUGGAGCGGUGAAAUGCGUAGAUAUCGGAAGGAACAUCAGUGGCGAAGGCGGCUUCCUGGACACAGACUGACACUGAGGCACGAAAGCGUGGGUAGCAAACAGG